rnacentral:lncRNA from 1 species
CAGCUUCUUGAACCACACCCAAUUUUCCCAGCAACCAAACAAAGUGAAUAUCCAUUCCAACCAUUUUCUUGGUUCAAAAGACAUGAUCUUUUUGAGCUACAUACAAGUAAAGGUGAUUUCUUUUUCAAUGUUCUUGCUUACAGUUAAGACUAAUCAACAUCCCCAAUUAGUCCUCCAGUUUCUUGAACUACACCCAAUUUUCCCAACACCCCAACAAAGUGAAAAUCAAUUUCCAAACAUUUUCUUGGUUCAAAGACAUGAUCUUUUUGAGCUACAUACAAGUAAAGAUGAUUUCUUUUUCAAUGUUCUUGCAUAAAAUUAAGACUAAUCAACAUCCCCAAUUACUCCUCCAGUUUCUUGACCUACACCCAAUUUUCCCAACACCCCAACAAAGUGAAAAUCAAUUUCCAAACAUUUUCGUGAUUCAAAGACAUGAUCUUUUUGAGGUACAUACAAGUAAAGGUGAUUGCUUUUUCAAUGUUCUUGCUUAAAA